rnacentral:rRNA from 1 species
GACGAACGCUGGCGGCGUGCUUAACACAUGCAAGUCGAACGAAGAGCGAUGGAAGCUUGCUUUUAUCAAUCUUAGUGGCGAACGGGUGAGUAACGCGUAAUCAACCUGCCCUUCAGAGGGGGACAACAGUUGGAAACGACUGCUAAUACCGCAUACGAUCUAAUCUCGGCAUCGAGGAUAGAUGAAAGGUGGCCUCUACAUGUAAGCUAUCACUGAAGGAGGGGAUUGCGUCUGAUUAGCUAGUUGGAGGGGUAACGGCCCACCAAGGCGAUGAUCAGUAGCCGGUCUGAGAGGAUGAACGGCCACAUUGGGACUGAGACACGGCCCAGACUCCUACGGGAGGCAGCAGUGGGGAAUCUUCCGCAAUGGACGAAAGUCUGACGGAGCAACGCCGCGUGAGUGAUGACGGCCUUCGGGUUGUAAAGCUCUGUUAAUCGGGACGAAAGGCCUUCUUGCGAAUAGUGAGAAGGAUUGACGGUACCGGAAUAGAAAGCCACGGCUAACUACGUG